CGAAUUGUUCGCGAGGAAUAGCCUAGUGUCACUUAAAAUGACUGUAUUUCGGCGGCCUUUCUUACACCAAUUAUAUGUUCAAUCUCUUGUGCUCCGCCCUGUCAAAUAGAAAACACAGAAAAUAAGUUGAUCUAGGAAUGAAUAGCUCACAAUUGAAACAAACCAAAUAGGACGUGACCAGAAUUUACCUCGUCACCAAUGUGGGAAGAAGCCAUUUUUCGUGAAGUUACUUCCGCUCACGUAUUUGUUGACAUUGCUUCCUCAAUACUCCUAAUUACAACACUAAGACCACUUCGGCUUUCUAAAGCUUUAACUGCUGCUCGGUGUGCAUU
rnacentral:lncRNA from 1 species